GUCGAGCGAGCGGAACAACAGAUUUACUUCGGUAAUGACGUUGGGAAAGCGAGCGGCGGAUGGGUGAGUAACACGUGGGGAACCUGCCCCUAAGUCUGGGAUACCAUUUGGAAACAGGUGCUAAUACCGGAUAAUAAAGCAGAUCGCAUGAUCAGCUUUUGAAAGGCGGCGUAAGCUGUCGCUAAGGGAUGGCCCCGCGGUGCAUUAGCUAGUUGGUAAGGUAACGGCUUACCAAGGCGACGAUGCAUAGCCGAGUUGAGAGACUGAUCGGCCACAUUGGGACUGAGACACGGCCCAAACUCCUACGGGAGGCAGCAGUAGGGAAUCUUCCACAAUGGACGCAAGUCUGAUGGAGCAACGCCGCGUGAGUGAAGAAGGUUUUCGGAUCGUAAAGCUCUGUUGUUGGUGAAGAAGGAUAGAGGUAGUAACUGGCCUUUAUUUGACGGUAAUCAACCAGAAAGUCACGGCUAACUACGUGCCAGCAGCCGCGGUAAUACGUAGGUGGCAAGCGUUGUCCGGAUUUAUUGGGCGUAAAGCGAGCGCAGGCGGAAAAAUAAGUCUAAUGUGAAAGCCCUCGGCUUAACCGAGGAACUGCAUCGGAAACUGUUUUUCUUGAGUGCAGAAGAGGAGAGUGGAACUCCAUGUGUAGCGGUGGAAUGCGUAGAUAUAUGGAAGAACACCA
rnacentral:rRNA from 1 species